rnacentral:rRNA from 1 species
GGGUUGUGAGGUUAAGCGACUAAGCGUACACGGUGGAUGCCCUGGCAGUCAGAGGCGAUGAAGGACGUGCUAAUCUGCGAUAAGCGCCGGUAAGGUGAUAUGAACCGUUAUAACCGGCGAUUUCCGAAUGGGGAAACCCAGUGUGACUCGUCACACUAUCAUUAACUGAAUCCAUAGGUUAAUGAGGCGAACCGGGGGAACUGAAACAUCUAAGUACCCCGAGGAAAAGAAAUCAACCGAGAUUCCCCCAGUAGCGGCGAGCGAACGGGGAGGAGCCCAGAGCCUGAAUCAGCAUGUGUGUUAGUGGAAGCGUCUGGAAAGGCGCGCGAUACAGGGUGACAGCCCCGUACACAAAAGCGCACAUGCUGUGAGCUCGAUGAGUAGGGCGGGACACGUGGUAUCCUGUCUGAAUAUGGGGGGACCAUCCUCCAAGGCUAAAUACUCCUGACUGACCGAUAGUGAACCAGUACCGUGAGGGAAAGGCGAAAAGAACCCCGGCGAGGGGAGUGAAAAAGAACCUGAAACCGUGUACGUACAAGCAGUGGGAGC